UACGAAGGGGGCUAGCGUUGCUCGUAUUUACUGGGCGUAAAGGGCGCGUAGGCGGACAGUUAAGUUGGGGGUGAAAGCCCGGGGCUCAACCUCGGAAUUGCCUUCAAUACUGGCUGUCUUGAGUGUGAGAGAGGUGUGUGGAACUCCGAGUGUAGAGGUGAAAUUCGUAGAUAUUCGGAAGAACACCAGUGGCGAAGGCGACACACUGGCUCACUACUGACGCUGAGGCGCGAAAGCGUGGGGAGCAAACAGG
rnacentral:rRNA from 1 species